GUUCCGUAGGUGAACCUGCGGAAGGAUCAUUAUUGUAUAACCGAGGGGCGAGGGCUGUCGCUGACCCGACAGGUCGUGCACGCCCGAGUGCCCUCACACACAUCCAUCUCACCCCUAUGUGCACCACCGCGUGGGUCCCCCUUUGGCUUGUUCGGAGGGGGGCUUACGUUUUCACACAAACUUUGUAUGCAGUGUAGAAUGUAUUUUUUGUUUUUGCGAUCACGCAAUCAAUACAACUUUCAACAACGGAUCUCUUGGCUCUC
rnacentral:misc_RNA from 1 species